GUUCCUUUUUGGUUUAUACUUUCUUCUAUAAAAGAAGUCAUAAAUCGUCAAUUUGUCAUUCAUGAAAUAAUUCCUUAGUUUCUUCAAAAUUUGUUCUAGCCCUUAACAAAGGCACCAAAAAUAUCUUUUAAACUUGGCUCAUAGUGCAACUUGACAGAGAUUCAAUGAAAUAAAGGUAACAAAAUUUCACUACUUCCAUAACUUCUCAAGAAAAUGUGGAGCUCAAUUUCUUAUCAUGGAGAGGUUGGAUAGUAUUAUAUAUUUGAAUUUACUUUUAUAAUUAUAGCAUCUUUAAAUAUUAUAUAAUAGUACAAAUUUAAUGUUAUAUAUGGGAGUUUCUUCUACAAGCAUAGUGCAUCAAAAAAUUUUAUUGAUCAUAUUGAAGUUCUUUAUCUGUCUAUUUUUGUUGUUGGUGGUGCAUAAUGCACCUAUUGGUAGACCCCGAGUGAGGUAUCCAAAUCAGGAGAUCCGGCUCUUGUGAUGUUUGUUGUUCUUCAGUUACUAAGGGUUGGUUGCCAUAAUCAAUUUGUUUCUCAAUCUUUAAAACCUAUUGAGCCAAAAGAAAAUGGAGACAAAAGGAUGUCAAUAGGUGUUCUCGGAUGAGUUUCAGAUUUUUUAGAAGUCAUUUGAGGCACAUUUGGAUGCCUAAAAUGGUGGAUUGAUGCGAUCUCGACGUGCCGCAUCGCCCAUCGCGUCAAUAAUAUUGUCACCAGCUCAACCAUGCAAAUUUUAGUGAGCCGAAGCAAUCUUGAUGCAUCGCGUCGGCCUUCUAUCGACCCCAUGAUUCGGUUUAGAGGCACAAGAUCCAGAGUUUCCUCAGCAGUUCAGUCCCAGUCAGCAGCAGUAGUCAUAGUAGUGAGUCCUCUUCUUUCGAGGACGAGUUUCAAUUUACUAUUAUUUGCAUCAGAUUUUUUGUUAUUUUUAGGUGAUGGAGUUAGUUGGGGACUUGUCCCAUCAACUCCAUAGUUCGUACAGUUUAGAGGCUUUUCAAAUAGACGACGAAUGUAUUGUAUUCAGUUUUAAUUUUGAGUAUGUAUAGAUGUGUUGAACCUUAUGGCUAGUUUCUGCAUUUAUUUC